rnacentral:rRNA from 1 species
UACGGGGGGGGUAAGCGUUGUUCGGAAUUACUGGGCGUAAAGGGCGCGUAGGCGGCGCAACAAGUCACUUGUGAAAUCUCCGGGCUUAACCCGGAGCGGUCAAGUGAUACUGUCGUGCUAGAGUGCGGAAGGGGCUACUGGAAUUCUCGGUGUAGCGGUGAAAUGCGUAGAUAUCGAGAGGAACACCUGCGGCGAAGGCGGGUAGCUGGGCCGACACUGACGCUGAUGCGCGAAAGCCAGGGGAGCGAACGGG